AAUCAACGCUGGCGGCGUGCCUCAGACAUGCAAGUCGAACGAUUAAGACUUCCUUCGGGAAGUGCAUAAAGUGGCGCACGGGUGAGUAACACGUAAGUAAUCUACCCACGAGUGGGGAAUAACAUCGGGAAACCGAUGCUAAUACCGCAUAACGCAGCGGCACCGCAAGGUGACAGUUGUUAAAGGAGUAAUUCGCUUGAGGAGGAGCUUGCGGCAGAUUAGCUAGUUGGUAAGGUAACGGCUUACCAAGGCUACGAUCUGUAUCCGGUCUAAGAGGACGGUCGGACACACUGACACUGAAUAACGGGUCAGACUCCUACGGGAGGCAGCAGUCGGGAAUUUUGGGCAAUGGGCGAAAGCCUGACCCAGCAACGCCGCGUGAAGGAUGAAGUAUUUCGGUAUGUAAACUUCGAAAGAAUGGGAAGAAUAAAUGACGGUACCAUUUAUAAGCUCCGGCUAACUACGUGCCAGCAGCCGCGGUAAAAC
rnacentral:rRNA from 1 species